CGUGCGCGGGGGCGGGGCCUGGUCCUCGCUUUGCCCGCUGCCGCCAGGCGCUCCCGCACCUCCCUCCCCCCCGGUCACUUCCAUCUCUGCCAGCCAGGGCGAGGAUGGCGGAGAGCGAGGCUGAGACCCCCAGCACGCCGGGGGAGUUCGAGAGCAAGUACUUCGAGUACAAUGGCGUGCGGCUGCCGCCCUUCUGCCGGGGGAAGAUGGAGGAGAUCGCCAACUUCCCGGUGAGGGACAGCGACGUCUGGAUCGUCACCUAUCCUAAGUCAGGCACAGGCUUGCUACAGGAAGUGGUUUAUCUAGUGAGUCAGGGAGCUGAUCCAGAUGAGAUUGGACUAAUGAAUAUAGAUGAACAACUUCCAGUCCUAGAGUACCCUCAGCCUGGUCUGGACAUCAUCAAGGAACUAACAUCUCCUCGCCUCAUAAAAAGCCACCUACCAUAUCGUUUUUUGCCUUCAGACCUCCAUAAUGGCAAUUCAAAGGUAAUAUACAUGGCUCGCAACCCCAAAGACCUGGUGGUGUCCUAUUACCAGUUUCACCGCUCCCUAAGAACCAUGAGCUACAGAGGAACAUUUCAGGAGUUCUGCAGAAGGUUUAUGAAUGACAAGUUAGGAUAUGGCUCUUGGUUUGAACAUGUCCAAGAGUUUUGGGAACAUCACAUGGAUGCCAACAUGCUUUUCCUCAAGUAUGAAGAUAUGCACAAGGACCUAGCAACAAUGGUGGAGCAACUGGUGAGGUUUUUGGGAGUUUCUUAUGACAAAGCACAGUUGGAAUCCAUGGUGGAACACUGCCAUCAACUCAUUGAUCAGUGCUGUAAUGCAGAAGCGCUUCCUGUUGGCAGGGCACAUUGAUCUAUACUCUGAAGAUAACCAUGAGCUGCUGUGAAAGCAGAGCAAUGAUUAGAUAUAUUAUUUACAUUUGACUCAUAUCACAUCAUAAGUUACACAAUUGCAUGAUUCAAAUCAUAAACCAGGUCGAGUUGGGCUAUGGAAAGACAUCUUCACUGUUUCUAUGAAUGAGAAAUUUGAUUUAGUUUAUAAACAGAAGAUGGGAAAAUGUGACCUCACAUUUGAUUUUUAUUUAUAAAAAUGCAUGCAUAUGAUAUCCAAAUGUAGCUAGAAGUGCUUUAUGCAUUCAUUUAUUACCUGCUGGACAAACUACUGUAGCUAUUAUGUGUAACAAGAUUUAAAGAAAGAAAAACAAUCAAAAUAAACCGUAGAUCAAGUAAACAAUCUAAGAAAACCUUAAACAAUUUAAGUGUAAACCAGAUACGAUUAUCUUUGAUCCUAAACAGCUGUUCAUUUUCUGGUAUUUUAAUUACUUGUCCACAUGCAAGAACUUCCUAGACAACACUAGAACAUUCAGCUGCUAAGAAAUUGUAUUAUGUAUAAGGUAUGUAUCAUAUGUGCAACUAGAAUGUACACCUUUUCAGGCCCAUCUUGCUUAUUUAAUGUUUUAUAAAGCUUUUCAUAAAGACCUAAAUAAAUGUCCAUAAACCAAAUAAAUUAUUUCAGAGGGGAACAAGUAACAGGCCAAAACUGUAUGCUAGAAUGAUCUCAGGGGUUAAUCAUCACAUUUAUUUUUAUAGCUGGUAAAUCAAGUAUAAAUAAAUCCCAUUCCAAAAUAAAUGAUCAAAGUCGGAUUCACAUUAAGUUCUGCACACCCUUAUCUCUAUAAUUUCUGAGUAGGUUCUGUGUACUGGUACACUCUGCAAGACAGGCCUUGUUAUGAAAUAUAGCUGUGAUUGUCACUAAUCCCCAAGCUCAUGCAUGCUUUCAUGGAUCAUGGAUGGCUGCAUGCAGCAGUCUUCUUGAUGGAAGAAGUUCAGCUCCAUCCAGAAGGUCAGCAAACAGAAGCUUUCAGCCUGCAGCUCUAGCUUAGUCCCUCAAAAUGGGGACCAAGGCAUCUAUCUGGUGCAGAGGUCUUUUUUCAGGAAUCAGUCUCUAACUCAUGUUGGUUUACUGUGCAGAUCUGAAUUUCACCUAUUAGAUACAGUCAGAGAAGAUAAGGUGCUGGAUAUCCUCCUGUUCCACCAAAAGUUAACGGCAUUCAGCACUGUUCUCUGUGCUACUGGACUCCCUCAGACCUAAGAUAAAGUGGAUAUGUGUGACAAUGUAAGCAGGCAGAGGGAAUGGCAGCAAUGAGGGAAGAGAGUUUAAAAAUACACCACCAGGUGGGAGUAUUGUACAAAUAUUGAUGCAGAAUAGUUUCAGUAAUUGUUAGCCAUGGCUUGUUGGUCUGGAUUGUGAUCAGGAGGAAAGUUGAUUUCUUUUAUUUUCGAUGACAGGUACACAAACAGCCUGAAGCAGGCUCCUAUUACUGUAAAACUUUACAGAAUUAUUUUAUUCUGUUAGGUAAUGACAUCAAUGCCUUUUAGGUUCUCAGUGGCAGGAGGCCUAUUUUUGCUAGUCAAAUAUUCAGUCUCGCCAAAAGCCAUGAGGAAAAACUAGCAGAUUUUUGGUGUUUCAGUUUUGUUGGGAAACAAACUGUCAGUUUAACUGGCAAGUGGUGUAGCAUGAUGUGGCUUGACAGCACUUUUCCUUGUAUAUUUGUGAGUGAAAAUGCUUUCAGUGAAAUUUUAUUUCUAUUUUUAUAUUUUUAGUACUGUAUGAAUAGUAAGCACUACACAUUAUACUUCUGCGCUUGCUUGCUUAUUGAAUAAAAGAUGUGU